AUACGGAGGGUGCAAGCGUUAUUCGGAAUCACUGGGCGUAAAGGGCGCGCAGGCGGUUUGGUAAGUCAGAUGUGAAAGCCCACGGCUCAACCGUGGAAGUGCAUUUGAAACUGCCAGACUUGAGUACCAGAGGGGAAAGUGGAAUUCCCGGUGUAGAGGUGAAAUUCGUAGAUAUCGGGAGGAAUACCGGUGGCGAAGGCGACUUUCUGGCUGGAUACUGACGCUGAGGCGCGAAAGCGUGGGGAGCAAACAGGAUUAGAAACCCUAGUAGUCC
rnacentral:rRNA from 1 species